AAUUAAAGUCUAAAAUAUUUAUUUAUAAAUAAAUAAAUUCACAUAAUUAAAAAAACACAUUGACACUGGCAAAAUUUAUUAUUAUUUAUAUAAUUGAAUAAGAAUUAUGAUAUAUAACCUUGGAAAUAUGAUGGAGCAAAUAAUUAUAAAAGAAAAGAAAUAAUCAUGGAGAAAAUAUUAAAAAAAUGCUCUAGGGAGGAGUUGAAGCAUGGACAACCAAGCCUUUGGGAAUAGGUCAAGACCAUCAAGCCAACACACAUUUCAUUAUCCGUAAAUAUAUAACAUUUACGGAUUCGCGAAUUUUUUUGCGAACCCAAUAAAUUUGUCAGCAAUUUUGGAGUCCUUGCAUGCAGAGAUUCUCUGCAAUUCGCAAAAAUUUUAGCGAAUUUAAAGUACUUUACCCCAUUUCACACUAAAUAAUUUUUUUUUCACCCCUUUUUGUUAAUUAAAUUUAUUUUUAACAUUAUUCAGAAAAAAAAAAUCAAUUAUCUUUAAUUAUUCUUUCUGAAUUAUCCAACAGUUUCAUCUUUUUAAAUCUCUACUCAACUUCUAGACAUUUCUCUCCAUUUAAUUAGUUGAUGGUGAUUUCAAUUUGAGUGGGGCACCCUCCAUUUAAUCAAUGAAUGGUUUUCUAGGCAAAUACCUCAUGUACAAUAAACAAAAGGGAAAAAGAGGAAAAAGAGCCGAGAGAUCGUAUUUGAAAUGCCUCAGAAUUUAGCUGGAGCACAUUCACAUCCCACUUUACUCAAUAAGGCUAAGCAUCAUAGUUAUUCCAAUUUGCCAAACUAGGGUUGUCAGUGUGGUACCAAACUGUCAAUUUCAUUCUUUUCUUCAUAUAUUGGCUUGGAGAGUUGAGUAUCCAAGACUGGAUUGAAUGCUACUCAUACAUACUCUCAGUCAUUCUUCUAAUGCUGGCAUGAGUUUGGUUUAACUUUAGUAAAAUUUGGCUGAACCUUGUGGAGCCAUCUCAUAUUCUCCAUUAACAAAAUAAGGAUAUAGACCAAGAAGGGCCAGCAAACAAGUGUAACUGGAUACUUGUUUCUUUCUAUUCAGUGUCCUUAUGUAAUGUAAGAUAUUAAUUGACAUAAUUAUUGUUAUGGCUUGAAAGCUUUUCAAAGUGGGUUGUUUUCCCACCAAAAAAUGGUACAUAAAUUGCAAUACUUUUCUCUGCCCAUGGUUUGUUUAUUUUAUGCUAAGGUCUCACAUUAACUACAAAUGUAAUUAAAUAUGCGUUUAUAAAAUGUAGAGCAAUUCACUGUUAAGCUAUUUCUUGGGGUAGAGUUAGACCUUACUCAAAUUCUAAAAAUCAAUAUACUCUAAGAAAAGAAACCCCUCCUGGGCCACGUGUCACGUUUUCCUUUUUUCUCUUUUACUAAAACUUUUUUCUUUUUCCUCUGAAGUUCCCGCUCUAUUUUCAGUCCAAUUCCUUUUGUUGUUUUAAAACCAUUUCAAAAACUUGACAUUAAAAAGAACUCUGCAAAAGUCAUAUCAAUUGGAAAGAGAAAUGUUAAAAAAUAAUAUUUGUUUCCUUUUCCAACACUCAUUUGCAGAACAAAAACGCACCUUCUCUCCUCUGUUUUUAAAAUUUCAGAUUCAACUCAAAAUCAUCUUCUUCUCUCCACCUUUAAUUUUUUCGUCUCUUCUCUUCCUAAAGCAGUGUUUCUUCUUCUCCUCAAACCAUUUGCUCAGUUUUUAUUUUAUUUUAUUUUUUUCCCUUCUCUUCCUAAGCUCUAUUGGUUAAACUUAACCGAGUGUUUCAUCUUCCCCCAAAACCAUCAUCAAAUGCUUUCACACAUCAAAUUAGUUUGAAAAUAUGCUUCUCUCUUCCUUCUCCCUAAACUCUGUCAUGCUGAAUCUUCGAUCUCUUUUUUCUUCCCCUUUCCGGUUACUAUAUUGUUACUGAUGUUUACUCUGCUUAUUUUGCUUAAUGUCGUUUUCCUUUACUUGCAGGAGGGACAAUUUCUUAGAGGUAUUUUUAUUUCUAAAUUUCAACUUGUCUUAGGUAAUGCACAGUAUCAAUUGAACUCUUUUUGUCAGAUGUUGGAUUGGUAUGACUCAUUGCAGGCAGAGAACUGUUCAAAAAAUAUGGAAGACUGUGAUAUAUGGCAAGUCCUUGCAGGUAUUGAUCUUGCUGGUCAGAUUGCUUUGGUUCUAAUAGCUGUGUUUUUUUUUAGCAGGUCUUAAUUUUAAUGGUCAAAGUUUUUCUGACACCUUUCAGAAGCUUUCAUUGCUAUUUAUAUUAAUACUUAAAUUGGUUUGAUUUUGUUGGUGCAUUGUUAUUUGCUCCCUCUACGAAUAUUUGCAUCCUUUUAGUGUGCAAAUGGUGAACCCCUUGAUUUAGAUGUGUUCUUAGGACAAACUCAUCUUGAAGUCAAAAGUCAGUCUACCACAAGUGACUAUGACUUGGGUGUCUUUAACUGAAUGUUGUAUUUUCUUUUCAUUUCAGUUUUUAGUGUCAAAAUUUGGCAGCACAGAUUUAUUCCAAAAAAAGAAGUGAUGAAAAACCUAAUGUUCCUUCAUGUAUCUAAUUCAUUGCUUGAAAACCUCUGGCUACCUGCUUCUUGCUAGAUCAUCCUCACGCACUAUAGUAGAGCCAUGGGAAGUACCAUCUGAAUGCUUGCUUUUUGAAAGAGUCAUGGGAAGUACCAUCUGGCUUGCUUCUGAAAUCUGGAAUGCCAUGUUGGGGCCGGCUUCACUGCUUCAUUUUUUUUAUCUUCUCCAUAGACUACAUGGAAAGAAGGAGAGCAUGUGGAACAAGAUUGUUAGGCAUGAUGAUGAAGAUAAUGGUCUGUUAUGGUAGAGCCAUUAAUAGGAGUAGAUGGUUCUUCAAGUACAACAUUGAUUUAUGGAAAAUAUUGGCUCACUCCAAAGAAUGCUUUCUAUUUGGUCAUUAUUAGUAUAUACUUAUAAUUGGAUUUCUCAUGUUUGUUCUUAGUUGUCGCUAUAAUUUAUAUUAAUCUUACAAUUUCAUUUUUUA